UCUCUAGAGAUAUUUUUAUGGGUUAAGAUCAUCAAGUGUACAAAAAUCCUGCCUUUAUCAACACGCAACAUUUACUAUUCUAGAAAUCCUCUCAUCUUAACUCUCGCUCUCACUCUCAAUCCUACCUUAUCAAAUCAGAGCAGCUACAACAUCAAUAGCAAAUUGAGAGCCAAAUCGAAGCCCCUUUAGGUUCAACUUCGAGAGAGAUUUUUUUUGACUUGAUUCACGCCUAUGCUCACUUCCGGAGGCAAAUUCAAGCCUGUCCAAUGGUUUAUUUGCCAGGCAAAAGUAAAAUCUAAAAGGAGAAGAGAAUUAUAAGAGCGGAAUUCUAUAGCAAUGGGGAUUUUUAUGAAGAAUAAUUUCACAAAGGGAAAUGUAAUAGCAGUGAGGUAUAUAUAUACUUGGUCAAUGAAGUAUGGCGUUUAUCCAACUCCGAAGCCGAAAAUGAUCAAAGAAAUGAAAAUUUGAGAGCAUUCAACUGUAUCCGUAGUAGGAAUUGCUGCUGCUUGAUCGCAAGAAUCUGAGGGAUGAAAGGAUGUGGGCAUUCAGGUGAGCUAGACUAUGAGGAAGGGAUUAGAAGGCAUGGCGUUCAGGUGAGCAAGACUACGACGAAGGGAUUAAAAGGCAAAAUUGGAAAUAAAGUUUAUUUUCUUUCCUUUGACAGGUUUAAACUUUUCGACUUAACAGACAAAGGAGUGAAA
rnacentral:misc_RNA from 1 species